UUCUUUAUAGGUUAUUUAAUCACUAAUCUCAAUGAAUAUUUUAUCUAAAUUUAGGAGACAUAGUAGCUUCAUUAUUUAUAACCCAGUAGUCAUGUUUCAAAAUCAUUAUUGCAAUUACUUUUUGCUUCUUUACAUAAUUAAAGCUCUAAUAUUCCAUCUUGCCCAGAAGGUCACUACUAAAACUCGAGACAAGAUAAUUGCUGAAAUUUUAGGUGGGUGCUUAAGGUACAUCGAGGGUCCUGGUGGUGACCCUAGCCAGAGCAUACCUGGCAGGGGAAGUGUUACCACCACUGCUGGGAGCAGGGGAGCCAGAGGCAAAACCAGAGUCCAAAUCCUGGGUGAGUGGCCAGAUGCUCAGGGCGCCAUCCUCUCGAAGAUAAAGGCCAGCCCUGGAGGGGUUUGCAAAGGUGGAAGUGAAGGGGCCGAGGGACUGGAAGGCAGCCUGGUGCACCCCAUCGGCAGGGGUCGCUGACAAGUCUGAUGAAGAGCGGGAAGAGCUGGGUUCUGCGGACCCCAGGGGAGGAGCUGUGCGACACAGCCGUGAAGCAUUCUGCACAGGCUUUCCGCAUGCCCCAAACAGCAUCAGAGCAGAGCUCAAAGAACUUUGGGAUCAAGGGGCUACGGUCUACAAGGCAGUAUUACAAACAAUUACUCUGGGACCCAACAAGUCCAGACCACACAUAAAGAUCAGGAAUCUUAAGCUUUCAAGUUAGAAAUGAAAUAUGAAGUAGCACAUAAAUAAUUCCUAGUUCAAAUUUCACUUUUGUUUACAUUUGAAAAACAAAAAAGCUACUAACUCCAUUUAUGAAAGCUUCGCAUGAUGCAGAAAAACAAAGCUUUCUGAACAAAACAGUUUCUAAUAAUAACUUCAAGUUGUCUUGGCCCAGUGUAAAAUAUGAAAUAAACCAGUAUUGA
rnacentral:lncRNA from 1 species